GAUGAACGCUGGCGGCGUGCCUAAUACAUGCAAGUCGAGCGAACAGACGAGGAGCUUGCUCCUCUGACGUUAGCGGCGGACGGGUGAGUAACACGUGGAUAACCUCCCUAUAAGACUGGGAUAACUUCGGGAAACCGGAGCUAAUACCGGAUAAUAUAUUGAACCGCAUGGUUCAAUAGUGAAAGACGGUUUUGCUGUCACUUAUAGAUGGAUCCGCGCCGCAUUAGCUAGUUGGUAAGGUAACGGCUUACCAAGGCAACGAUGCGUAGCCGACCUGAGAGGGUGAUCGGCCACACUGGAACUGAGACACGGUCCAGACGCCUACGGGAGGCAGCAGUAGGGAAUCUUACGCAAUGGGCGAAAGCCUGACGGAGCAGCGCCGCGUGAGUGAUGAAGGUCUUCGGAUCGUAAAGCUCUGUUAUUAGGGAAGAACAAAUGUGUAAGUAACUAUGCACGUCUUGACGGUACCUAAUCAGAAAGCCACGGCUAACUACGUG
rnacentral:rRNA from 1 species